CCAAUGUGGAUACCUUGGGAGGUUACUCUUCCAGACUCUGUCCAGGUGGCAUACGGAAGCAUAAGGCUCUGCCCCAAGACGGGCAAUCCUUUUCCACGACAUUGGAGAUAAGCCUGUCCCUUGAAUUUGUACCUACAUAUUCCUAUGGCUUCUCAGAGCCCUAUAGAUAAUGACUGAGGAGACAAAUCAUUCAGGAAACAUCU